rnacentral:rRNA from 1 species
GUAGGGUGCAAGCGUUAAUCGGAAUUACUGGGCGUAAAGCGUGCGCAGGCGGUCUUGCAAGACAGAUGUGAAAUCCCCGGGCUCAACCUGGGAACUGCAUUUGUGACUGCAAGGCUGGAGUACGGCAGAGGGGGAUGGAAUUCCGCGUGUAGCAGUGAAAUGCGUAGAUAUGCGGAGGAACACCGAUGGCGAAGGCAAUCCCCUGGGCCUGUACUGACGCUCAUGCACGAAAGCGUGGGGAGCAAACAGGAUUAGAUACCCUGGUAGUCCACGCCCUAAACGAUGUCAACUGGUUGUUGGGAAGGUUCCUUCUCAGUAACGUAGCUAACGCGUGAAGUUGACCGCCUGGGGAGUACGACCGCAAGGUUG